rnacentral:rRNA from 1 species
CCUACGAGUGGCAGCAGUGAGGAAUAUUGGUCAAUGGCCGGAAGGCUGAACCAGCCAUGCCGCGUGAAGGUCAGUGCCCUAUGGGCGUUAAACUUCUUUUGUGCGGGAGCAAUAAUGGUCACGUGUGGCCCGACGAGAGUACCGUACGAAUAAGCAUCGGCUAACUCCGUGCCAGCAGCCGCGGUAAUACGGGGGAUGCAAGCGUUAUCCGGAUUUAUUGGGUUUAAAGGGUGCGUAGGCUGUGAGGUAAGUCAGCGGUGAAAUGCCCCCGCUCAACGGGGUGAAGUGCCAUUGAUACUGCCUUGCUGGAAUGCGGAUGCCGUGGGAGGAAUGUGUGGUGUAGCGGUGAAAUGCAUAGAUAUCACACAGAACACCGAUUGCGAAGGCAUCUCACUAAACUGCCACUGACAUUGAUGCUCGAAAGUGUGGGUAUCAAACAGGAUUAGAUACCCGAGUAGUC